GAACGCACAUUGCGCCCCCUGGCAUUCCGGGGGGCAUGCCUGUCCGAGCGUCAUUUCUGCCCUCAAGCACGGCUUGUGUGUUGGGCGUGGUCCCCCCUGGGGACCUGCCUGAAAGGCAGUGGCGACGCCCGCCUAGGUCCUCGAGCGUAUGGGGCUUUGUCACCCGCUCGGGAAGGAUCUACGGGUGUUGGUCUUCCAUAAUUUUUCCACGGUUGACCUCGGAUCAGGUAGGAGUUACCCGCUGAACUUAAG
rnacentral:misc_RNA from 1 species